UACGUAGGGGGCAAGCGUUGUCCGGAAUCAUUGGGCGUAAAGAGCGCGUAGGCGGCCCUGUAAGUCCGCUGUGAAAGUCAAGGGCUCAACCCUUGGAUGCCGGUGGAUACUGCAGGGCUAGAGUCCGGAAGAGGCGAGUGGAAUUCCUGGUGUAGCGGUGAAAUGCGUAGAUAUCAGGAGGAACACCUGUGGCGAAAGCGGCUCACUGGACCACAACUGACGCUGAUGCGCGAAAGCUAGGGGAGCAAACAGG
rnacentral:rRNA from 1 species